AUUGAACGCUGGCGGCAGGCCUAACACAUGCAAGUCGAGCGGAUGAAGGGAGCUUGCUCCUGGAUUCAGCGGCGGACGGGUGAGUAAUGCCUAGGAAUCUGCCUGGUAGUGGGGGAUAACGUCCGGAAACGGGCGCUAAUACCGCAUACGUCCUGAGGGAGAAAGUGGGGGAUCUUCGGACCUCACGCUAUCAGAUGAGCCUAGGUCGGAUUAGCUAGUUGGUGGGGUAAAGGCCUACCAAGGCGACGAUCCGUAACUGGUCCGAGAGGAUGAUCAGUCACACUGGAACUGAGACACGGUCCAGACUCCUACGGGAGGCAGCAGUGGGGAAUAUUGGACAAAGGGCGAAAGCCUGAUCCAGCCAUGCCGCGUGUGUGAAGAAGGUCUUCGGAUUGUAAAGCACUUUAAGUUGGGAGGAAGGGCAGUAAGUUAAUACCUUGCUGUUUUGACGUUACCAACAGAAUAAGCACCGGCUAACUUCGUG
rnacentral:rRNA from 1 species